CCUACGGGAGGCAGCAGUGGGGAAUAUUGCACAAUGGGGGAAACCCUGAUGCAGCGACGCCGCGUGAGUGAAGAAGUUUUUCGGUAUGUAAAGCUCUAUCAGCAGGGAAGAAAAUGACGGUAUCUGAUUAACAAUCCAUGGCCAAUGACGUGCCAGCAGCCGCGGUAAUACGGAGGGGGCACGCGUUAUCCGGAUUUACUGGGUGUAAAGGGAGCGUAGACGGCAGGACAAGUCUGGGGUGAAAUGCCGGGGCUUAACCCCGGAACUGCUUUGGAAACUGUGCAGCUGGAGUGCAGGAGAGGUAAGUGGAAUUCCUGGUGUAGCGGUGAAAUGCGUAGAUAUUGGGAGGAACACCAGUGGCGAAGGCGGCUUACUGGACUGUAACUGACGUUGAGGCUCGAAAGCGUGGGGAGCAAACAGGAUUAGAUACCCUAGUAGUC
rnacentral:rRNA from 1 species